AGCUCCAAGUCGAAAGGAAGCGACGCAUGAGUUGUUUGGUGCGAAUUUUAAACGGAAGAACGCAGAAGAAUUCUCUUUAUGUUACCUUUAUUUAGCAACAAAUCAACUUGACUCAACUGAUACUUACUGAGUGCCUUUAAAGGUAAGUGAAUAAAAGUCUACCCCUUGUAAAUCCACUUCAAGGAAUUUGUAAUCAAAUAUUGAUGUUUGAGGAUAAUGGGCCUUCCUGUUACUUCUUAGUACUAACCUAGCUUACACUCUACUUUCCUCCCUAAAGUUUACGCAAACUUUACAAACCUAUUAAAAUCCCAUUCCUUCUGUGAAAGAACUGCUCUCUCCUUCCUUGAAUUCCUAUAGCAUAUUAAUUAAUCACAUACUUAUUUGUAAUAUCUUCUCUUGAACUAUUUAACUUCCUGCUCUUCCUACCUAGAUUGUUUCUC
rnacentral:lncRNA from 1 species